GCCCGUUUGGCUCAGUGGAUAGAGUGUCGGCUUGCCGACCAAAGGAUCCCGGGUUUGAUUCCCGUCAAGGGCA
rfam:Myotis brandtii contig260364, whole genome shotgun sequence.